AUACAGUAGGGGGCUAGCGUUAUCCGGAUUUACUGGGCGUAAAGGGUGCGUAGGUGGUCUCUUAAGUCAGGAGUGAAAGGCUACGGCUUAACCGUAGUAAGCUCUUGAAACUGGGAGACUUGAGUGCAGGAGAGGAAAGUGGAAUUCCUAGUGUAGCGGUGAAAUGCGUAGAUAUUAGGAGGAACACCAGUAGCGAAGGCGGCUUUCUGGACUGUAACUGACACUGAGGCAACGAAAGCGUGGGGAGC
rnacentral:rRNA from 1 species